ACUUGGACGUAAAUGUGUUUAGAGAGAUCGACACCGAUGGGGUUGGAUACAAGAAGGGUCACCUUAACGUUGACUACCACUUUGUCGAUUGUCGAGAUCACUACUAUUAAGGACAACCUUUUCCCGGAGAAAUUAUUAUUCUGCAAUAAAACAUUGAGUGAAUACUCCACCCGAUCCCUGACAAUUAUCUCAAAAGGACAACAAGGAUCCCAUGAAAAAAAACAUCCAAUUCGGCUCCUGAUCUUUUUUCUUUUUGGGACUGAUUAGCCCUUGUGCCAAAAAAAAUAUUAACUUUUUUUGGUACAGGGACCUCGUUGUCCUUUCGAAGUAAUUGUCAGAGGUUGUUUUGAGUUUUUCUCUAAAAGGAUUUAAACAGAUUGUGUUCAAUAACAGUGAUGAGGUAUAAUAUAAGUGGUAUAGUUGCUAGGUUCUUUAAGCAUCAUGUCCUGCAUUUGAUCAGCACGAGAUUCAUACUAAUUAAACGGUAAACUCUGAAAGGAUUAAAGACUAGCCUUAAAUUUCAACCAAUGAAUAUCCAACGAUUUAC